GUACAGUGUCGAGCGUACGGACAGUGAAAGAACGCGAACUCUGGCAGUGGUACAAGAGAUGAAGAUCAAGAAGAAGAUAGAGGAGUACGUUAUUAUUUUUUCCUGUCCUAAUCUUAACUUGUUUUUAGAUUUUUCGUUUAGAUGAGGAGGAGGCUGAUGAAAA